AUUGAACGCUGGCGGCAUGCUUUACACAUGCAAGUCGAACGGUAUCAGGGAGCUUGCUCCGCUGACGAGUGGCGAACGGGUGAGUAAUGCGUCGGAACGUGCCGAGUAGUGGGGGAUAACGCAUCGAAAGGUGUGCUAAUACCGCAUACGAACUGAGGUUGAAAGUGGGGGACCUUCGGGCCUCACGCUAUUCGAGCGGCCGACGUCUGAUUAGCUAGUUGGUGAGGUAAAGGCUCACCAAGGCGACGAUCAGUAGCGGGUCUGAGAGGAUGAGCGCACACACUGGGACGGAGACACGGCCCAGACUCGUACGGGAGGCAGCAGUGGGGAAUUUUGGACAAUGGGCGCAAGCCUGAUCCAGCCAUGCCGCGUGUCUGAAGAAGGCCUUCGGGUUGUAAAGGACUUUUGUCCGGGAGCAAAUGCUGGUGGCUAACAUCCACCGGAGCUGAGAGUACCGGAAGAAUAAGCACCGGCUAACUACGUGCCAGCCGCCGCGGUAACAC
rnacentral:rRNA from 1 species